rnacentral:rRNA from 1 species
AUUGAACGCUGGCGGCAGGCCUAACACAUGCAAGUCGAGCGGAUAAAGGAAGCUGGCUCCUGGAUUCAGCGACGGACGGGUGAGUAAUGCGUAGGAAUCUGCCUGGUCGUGGGGGAUAACAUCCGGAAACGGGCGCUAAUACCGCAUACGUCCUGAGGGAGAAAGUGGGGGUUCUUCGGACCUCACGCUAUCAGAUGAGCCUAGGUCGGAUUAGCUAGUUGGUGGGGUAAAGGCCUACCAAGGCGACGAUCCGUAACUGAUCUGAGAGGAUGAUCAGUCACACUGGAACUGAGACACGGUCCAGACUCCUACGGGAGGCAGCAGUGGGGAAUAUUGGGCAAUGGGCGAAAGCUUGAUCCAGCCAUGCCGCGUGUGUGAAGAAGGUCUUCGGAUUGUAAAGCACUUUAAGUUGGGAGGAAGGGCAGUAAGUUAAUACCUUGCUGUUUUGACGUUACCAACAGAAUAAGCACCGGCUAACUUCGUG